rnacentral:misc_RNA from 1 species
UCCGAGUUGACCCCGGCAGUCUCCCAUGAGUCCCCACCAUUACGUGCUGGCAACAUGGAACGAGGGUUGCGCUCGUUGCGGGACUUAACCCAACAUCUCACGACACGAGCUGACGACAGCCAUGCACCACCUGUGCACGGCCCUUACGGACCCGACAUCUCUGCCGGAUUUCCGUGCAUGUCAAGCCCAGGUAAGGUGGGGAUGACGUAGCUAAGCCUUC